GGCCGUCUGGCGAAAUGGCAUCGCGUCUGACUACGACAGAGUCCGUAUAUCAGGAGAUUGUAGGUUCGACCCCUACGUCGGUCA
rfam:Fomitopsis pinicola FP-58527 SS1 unplaced genomic scaffold FOMPIscaffold_134, whole genome shotgun sequence.